rnacentral:rRNA from 1 species
CUGACACAGGUGCUGCAUGGCUGUCGUCAGCUCGUGUCGUGACGAUGUUGGGUUAAGUCCCGUAACGAGCGCAACCCUUGUCCUUAGUUACCAGCACGUUAUGGUGGGCACUCUAAGGAGACUGCCGGUGACAAACCGGAGGAAGGUGGGGAUGACGUCAAGUCAUCAUGGCCCUUACGGCCUGGGCUACACACGUGCUACAAUGGUCGGUACAAAGGGUUGCCAAGCCGCGAGGUGGAGCUAAUCCCAUAAAACCGAUCGUAGUCCGGAUCGCAGUCUGCAACUCGACUGCGUGAAGUCGGAAUCGCUAGUAAUCGUGAAUCAGAAUGUCACGGUGAAUACGUUCCCGGGCCUU